GCGCAGCAGGCGCGAAACCUCCGCAAUACACGAAAGUGUGACGGGGCCAUCCCGAGUGCCGUCCGCUGAGGACGGCUUUUCCCCAGUGUACACAGCUGGGGGAAUAAGGAGAGGGCAAGCCUGGUGUCAGCCGCCGCGGUAAUACCAGCUCUCCGAGUGGUGGGGACGCUUAUUGGGCCUAAAGCAUCCGUAGCCGGCUGGGCAAGUCCUCCGUUAAAUCCAACGAUUCAAUCGUUGGGCUGCGGGGGAUACUGUCCAGCUUGGGGGCGGGAGAGGCCGACGGUAUUCCCGGGGUAGGGGUGAAAUCCUAUAAUCCCGGGAGGACCACCAGUGGCGAAGGCUGUCGGCUAGAACGCGCCCGACGGUGAGGGAUGAAAGCUGGGGGAGCGAACCGGAUUAGAUACCCCCGUAGU
rnacentral:rRNA from 1 species